rnacentral:rRNA from 1 species
UACGGGGGGGGCAAGCGUUGUUCGGAAUUACUGGGCGUAAAGGGCGCGUAGGCGGUUUGCUAAGUCGGAUGUGAAAACUCUGGGCUCAACCCAGAGCCUGCAUCCGAAACUGGCAGGCUAGAGUUCUGGAGGGGGUAGCGGAAUUCCUGGUGUAGCGGUGAAAUGCGUAGAUAUCAGGAGGAACACCGGUGGCGAAGGCGGCUACCUGGACAGAAACUGACGCUGAGGCGCGAAAGCUAGGGGAGCAAACAGG